ACAGUGGUUCUUCUCAUAAAUACAGAGGGUAUUCGUGAUACUAUAAAACCAUACCCAGCUGUCUGAUACUAACAAUACAAAGGAGAAAGUCGAAGAAACAAUUGCAGCAGGUCAUAUAAUUUUCAAGAUGAACAAAUUUACCAUUGUGGUACUACUCGCGGUGCUGCUCACGCCAGGCCACGCCCAAUCAACCUCAGAGGAGAUUGUUGAAAUAGUCAGGAAUGCACUCCCGAUGGUCAAAAUUAACAAUGCUUUACUGACACUGAGACAGGGAAAUGCCCAGCAUGCCUCAGAGGAGGCAGAAGUUCCCGCCAGACAGGGAGCAGAACGAGUCAGGAACGCAUUCGAUAGUGACAGACGCCAAGCAUGGCUGGCGGCCGAUAGGAGGAGGGCAGUUUGACCUUAGCGAGAUAGAUCAAAGACUUAAUGGUGUGACUCCUGCAUAAACCUGAUAACAUUGUACAUGAGAAUCAGCAAUAGUGUCAACUGAGAAAUUAAAAGUCUAAAAUG
rnacentral:sRNA from 1 species